GACGAACGCUGGCGGCGUGCUUAACACAUGCAAGUCGAACGGAAAGGCCCCUUUGGGGGUACUCGAGUGGCGAACGGGUGAGUAACACGUGAGUAACCUGCCCUUUACUUCGGGAUAACUUCAGGAAACUGGGGCUAAUACCGGAUAGGAAUCCUUGCUGCAUGGUGGGGGUUGGAAAGCUUCGGCGGUUUUGGAUGGACUCGCGGCUUAUCAGCUUGUUGGUGGGGUAGUGGCUUACCAAGGCUUUGACGGGUAGCCGGCCUGAGAGGGCGACCGGCCACAUUGGGACUGAGAUACGGCCCAGACUCCUACGGGAGGCAGCAGUGGGGAAUAUUGCACAAUGGGCGGAAGCCUGAUGCAGCAACGCCGCGUGCGGGAUGACGGCCUUCGGGUUGUAAACCGCUUUCAGCAGGGGCGAAGCUUGUGGUGACGGUACCUGCAGAAGAAGCACCGGCUAACUACGUG
rnacentral:rRNA from 1 species